CCCUACCUCACAAAACGGCUUGUUUAAAGUGAUACCCAGUAAAAUUGGAUAAAAUCGCACAGUAACAUCACUGCGAACAUGACAUGUAGAAUUUAAAAAUUAAUAUUACAACACUCGACUUCUACGGCCAUUAGUCAUUGUCAUUGAUUGUUGAAUACUAUGAUUCUUGAGAGCUUCUUUCGUAGGUAACCAACAUGGUAACCAACAUGCGCCAUACCAAGACAUACGGUGCUCCUCCCAUUGGUCCUCACGAAUCGUUAUCGCUUUCUAACAUGGCGCCGACCAUAAUGAUUUUGUGGGCCUGUGUGUGUGUGUUUCGACUGUUCUUCCGCUGUAGCGAUUCAAUCAACUUCAUGAAUGAGUUAGCGACGAAUUGUUUUUUGUAUUCAUUGUGUGUGUGAUCAGUGGUUACUUCUGAAUGCCGCCUGGCACGGGGAGGAUGUAUUAGAAAAUAUCGCAUACUUUUAUUGCGCAGUUUACCCAACUUCGGUUUCUUUCAGCGCGUUUUACAAGCUGUCAGUUACAACUUGGUUAGUUUAGUGAAAAGUUAAGUUUAUUUAGUGUGGCUCCUGCAGCUUGCCUUGCCUUCCCAAAUCCGUUUCGAUAAUGAGGUGAAGCCAACUUUGAAAUGGUGACGCCUACCAAAGGCUGUUUUUCCAAUUUCGGAGUUGACCAAUUUUCACGCCCAAUUCCUUGCACUCACUUGCACAAAUAACUUGUUCGCAGUACAGGGUUUUGCAAACCACUAUUUUGACAAGGUCAUCACGAUCUGUUUCACGUACCCAUCACACUUCCUAGCCUUAGGCAGUUGUGUUUCUCUUUUUUAGUGUAUGUCGUUCAUUCAGAAAUUGCGACGGGUUUCCGCAGCACUUUCACCAAAUUUGAUGCAGCUAGCCUUUAAAGGUACGUUCUCGUAAGCCAUGAGCUAGGGUUUCCGGUUUUCAGUGUUUAACUUUUGAGAUAUCACCGGAAACGCGGCAAAUAUGAACGGCAAACAAAAUUACAGUAAUACAAGAAUGAAUUGGCGUAUACCAUAAUGAAAUAACAGGAUAACUUCUCUUUGUCACUUCCUUUCACCCUAUCUUAUAAUACCUCAGAAAAUAUAAACACCGAAAACCAGAAGCCCUAGACUCAUGACCUACCCAGAACAGAUGCCAUUCUGUUCUCCGUGAUUGACAAUGCAACAGUGUGAAUUCUCUUGCCCCAAAGUGCCAUGGUUAUUCCUUAGGUAAAUGAAAUUAAUACCAGCUGCAUAGCUUCCGAUGCACAGUGCUGGCAAAGACGUCUACUACAUCUAAAAUAAUCACGCGAUUGUUGACAAAGUAAAACGAAACAAAGUUUCAAAUUUUGUUGGGCUUUGUAGGGGUCAUGUCCUCCAAAUAUGGGAGGCAGAGUGGCGAUUGCUGAACCUGAACACAGACAGCCAUUCUGUUCAACUUCAGGGAAACCUUGAAAUCAUGUUCAGGGGGAUGUGUGCGUAGCCAUGGCUGCAAACAGCUGUUUUGCUUGUCCGCCAAACCAUUGGCAUAGUAAUGGUAUAUUAAUGCAAAUUUCUACUUCGUUGAUCUGAAUGAAACUUCCACGGUUUUGUAUCUGCAGAAUAUAUAUAUAUAUAUUUUUUUUUUAUAAAUAUGAAAAUAAAAAAAUAUGAAAUAAAAAUGAAAGAGAAAAAAGUAUUCAGUUAAGUUUCGAGGUCUUCUGACCUGUACCAUUGGUAAAUCGUUUGGAAAGGAUCUUUCUGAGCAUGUGCGUCUCUGAACGUUUGGCAUUUUCUACAGGAAUAUGCUUCACUUAAGACAGCUAUAUGCAGUAAUUUUGCUAGUGUUAUGUAGUAAUCAGUGUUUUUGUUGCAGUCUCACGAAGAUCAGAUGAUUCUGAAUCUUCACGAAAAUUUUAUUCAUGAGUACCAGAAAUAAAUAACAGGGAAAGUUUAAUUCUGGAAUAACAAAAUAUUUUUUGAGAAAUUCGCAUAAAUAUAUCGUAACAACAGAUCAGUGCCGUCGCAAGGCGAGUUUGUGCCCAGGGCAGGGUAAACGUGAAGCGCCCUUCCCGUCUCACUGCCGUCAGAAGCUCUGUAAACAAAGGAAAGAAAACACUUACGUGCACUGCCAAGAUCGUAAAUUCUAGUUCUCUUCAUUUCCACUUUAUACUGUCCAACCAACCUGCCGGAGCCUGCAGUUCGGCGCCCUCUCUGACGAGGGUGCCCAGGGCGGCCCUCUCAGCCCCUCAUCGCUACGGCUCUGUACCAGAUGCCUAUUGUUGGGCAUUUUUAAAACUUCACUUUAACAAAACCCUGAAAAACUUGACGUCUUACUGAAUAGACCAGUAGGUGGGCAUACAGGCAAACGGCCAUUUGCAGUCAGGGUCAUGCACAGGCUGCCCUGAAUGUGACUUGUGUGUCAGUUGCGCCUCCUCCUCAAGAAAUGUGGCAUUGAUGUUUGCUCAUUGAGAAUGCUGUGUGAGAGGACAGGCAAAAUACCUGUUUGCAGAGUCACGUGCAUGCCACCCUAAAUAUUGUGUGUAUGGUUCCUCAUCUACCAAGGUUUUACUGAUGUCCAGCACAGCAGUUGUCUUUGCCUGGGUACAGUCAUCCUUCCCCUUUGCCUUUGAAGUCAAGAGGGAGGGAAGGGGGUUGAGGCUUCUAAGAGAUGACAGCCACCCUAUCUCUAUGUUUUGAAGGUCGUCUGCUCUGAACACCCCAAGAGAAGCCAUUUCUUCUAUUUUGUAUUCUCACAUGAUUACUUGAGGAGACGUGGAUGUCAUUGUUGCCAGCACAGCCUGUAGGAAGCUAUAAAGCUCUCAUUUAUUUAAUAACCUUUAAAUGAAUAGUUCACACCCCAAGCAUCAAUCCAUAGAUAUCUGUUUACACUUGUAGUGUAUUUCCUGUACCAAAUUCCUGCAUCACGUUUUGCCAACUCGAGCUCCUAGUAAUUUAUUAUCAUCAUUAUAAAUAGUUGGAAUCCACACAGUUUGAAAUUUGCACACAGAAAGAUAUACAUGUAUGUGCGAUGUCUGUGUGGGGAAAUGUUGGUGUGGCCUUGAUGCAUGACUUCCCUCUCCUGCUGCAGAAUUCUUUGCAUCCCGCUGCAGAGAAUACAUGAGGAGGAGGAGCUGACACAUCACAAAACAGAAAAGAAAAUAUUAAUCACUCUUUAAAUAUGCCGAUUUCGAGUGAAUGGCCUCGCAGGAGAGCUAUUUGGAGUCAAAUGCUCCUUCCAAACAUAUUUAUUUCAACGAUGUCAGGCAGCAAAUUUUCCCUAUAAGUUCUCUAUUUCAUAUCCUCAAGGUUUUUUGGCAAGAGAGUUCACACUAUUACAUUGUUAACGACAGACAAUAGUACCGUAUAUGUUCUGAGGAGGUCAUGGUCUACAGGACAGCCUGUUAACAAAUUUGUUGAGUGCAUGGAGAGAGUCACUGUCAAUAUCUAUUGUGUAGCACAUUAUCAGAAUCAACACCCGUGCAUCCGAGACUUAAGUUGAUGAACUUAUUUAUUGGUUGUAGAAGACAUGACCCUGAGUUUGGGAUAAAGACGCAGACGACAUAUGAAGUAGGCAAGACGACGACGACGUGUGUCACCUGCGUCUUUACCCCAAACUCGGGGUCACGUCUUCUACAUGUAACACACAGUUUGUGACAAGAUGCUGGGUUACUACGUCUUGGGUUAAUUGCGCAUUGGACUGUGUAACAUCUGUUUAAAAAUAUCUGCCGAAGCCCAGACUGUUUGUCUACUCAUUGUCACUCUUCCCCUUAGAUUACAUUUUCCCACUUGGUUUGGCAAUUAAAUUUUGCAGUCCGCUCUGGGCAAACUUGUGUUCCGCAGUAUACAUAACACUUCACAGAUGUGCAAUACAAGCAUCAAGCUCUGUUUGAGCUGUUUUCUGCUGUCUGUGCUUCUUGAUUACUUCGGCAUGACUUUUCCGUGGAUGUGCAGCACUUGUGCUUAGUCACGGAUUGAGUGGCGCUUGAGCUUUGACCUUGCUUUUAACCUUCACCCUUGGCUUAACGUGGCCUUGGAGCCACAUGAUGAAGCAAGCUUGUGUGCAGUCUUUCCAAGUUGCAUAUGCCCCAUCAGUGAUGCUGUGAUCAUGCAUGCAGCAACUGGUUCAUAGCUCUGUGUUAACCGAAGGACGCUGGUUCGAAUCCCACUCACUACAGUGAAACGAUUUUCCACAGAAACCAAGCAAGGUCACGUCAAUGUUUAAGCUUACAGUUUGCUUUUUUGGUCAGCAUUAACAUUAAAAUGGCAAAUUGGGAAAUCAGUCACUCCCCAGUCUCAGUGUGGAAAGUGAUCAUCUUAACCAUUCCACUGAAGCUGAUGAUCAACCGGAGUAUUUUGUCGUCUCACUGAAUUUCUUGACUACUGUCUUGUGGAUAAGAGAUAAUAACCCAUAGAGGUUUAUCCAACCCUUUCGGUAACUUUCAUUCUACAUCAUACAUUUUUCUUUUUCUGAACCCAAAAUCUUGUUUUGCAGGGUGUCGUGCAGAGCAAAUUGGUUCACAAAAAUCGUAGGGCACAUAAGAUUUAUUAGAAAAUCGGUUCAGGAUUGGAAGAAAUAUAAAACUUGAAGAUUGAAAAUGUUGUCAUGCGUACUGUAUAUUGUCUGUUAUCCAUAUUGAAGCCUUUGGUAUGUUUGUACAUCAAUAGAGUAAGACACUUCACAUUUUAGAAAUAUGUAAGCACAUAAUUAUUGCAUGUUAACACGCAUGUGUAAAAUGAGCUCAUAAACACGUACAAUAGGUGGCAGAAAGUGCACACACAGUCUUAUCAAGGAAAUGCCACAACUGAAGGGGUAGUUACUAAUUUGCAGGCACUUGUUCAUGAUUUAUGUUCUGGGCUUUGAGCAGGAAAAGUGUUUGCUGUUUGUUCUUUACUGUGCCCCACACAGUGAAUUCUGAGGACUGGUUCCAGGGUGAUCAUGCCCCGGAGGUAUUGCCUCAGCAAAGGGGGUUGUGCUUAGGAGGGGAACGUGGCUUUCUUCCCAAACUAUACAGAAAAGUUUUGCUAUUGAACAACAAAGCACAUAUAUCUGAAGAAAACUAGUUCAGCUUCAUUCAAGGGUGUAAGUUUCUUAGAUAUGCUUGCUCUCUUCAGCGACUGACGUUAAAUACCGUGUGCCGGUGCUGAGAUUUCAGUGCAUGCUAAAGAACCGUCAAGUGGGUAAUAUUAAUCCACAGACCGACCACUGUGGUGCUGCUCAUAAUCAUAGUUGUCUCACAACGUAAAGCCGUAAAUGAUCAAUUAUCAGCUUCAUUCAGUUUGCUCACCGCGUAAAGUGUACAUACCGUGAGCCAUGCCAUAAUAUCGUAUUUGGAUUUCACGUACCAAAUGAGGUUACUAAAAUAUUAUUUUAAAGAAUAUGUGCUGCACAGGAAGUGAAGCUGAACCACGCUUGUGUGUGUGUGUGUGUCUCUGAUUUUCUUUUCUUUUUUUUUUUAUUGUGUGUUAGCGCCGCGAAGCAACUGUGGCUAUGAGUGGCGUACAGAUGUGGACAGAUGUAGAGAGGACAGCAGGAAGGAAAGGGCCAUAGUGGGGGGUUAGUAUGCAUCCUGGGCUGACUUCAGGGGAACUGUACUGACAUUAGUAUGGAAAGUCUGCCAGGAAACCCAGGGAAAAUGUCCUAGACAGCACAGCCAGUGCGAGGAUUCACGUCCUAGUCUCAAUGUGGAAAGCGAUCAUCCUGACCAGGAGCUGGUGCAAAGAUAUCUGCUGUCCUCAAAGUAGAAAGUGAACCACUUCAUCUCUAUGGAAGCAGUUUUGAUUAUGCUUCAGUCAAUUAUGAAGUGAUAAUCAGGUAACCUGAAGAAGUGCAGUCUCGUGCACGAAAGUCUCGUUACCAUGUGUAAAUAAAUAAGUUGCUCCUACCGUUUAAUAUCACUCUUUGAUUUACUCAACACCGGCAACUUGACAUCGCCUAUUUUUCUGCCUUCGUAUCUUCUUGAUAAUCAGAUGCUCAACAUGCAUACCUAGAUGCGGGAACAUUGUUGGAUAAUGCCACCUUUAAUUUUUUUUUUUCAGUUUUUUGCAGGUGCGCACCUGAAUGAAGGAAGUUGAAGAUAAGGAGGCCCUUGUCAGAGGAAGAAUGUUCCAACAAGCUCCAAGAGGAAGCACGGCUGCCAUGAAAGCACAACCCAAGCAGUAAAACAUAUUGACCCAAUAUUAGCUUGAUAUUGACAAGGCUGGUGCAAGCUUGCUCCAUUAUUGGACCAGUAUUGGCAAUAUGCACUCAGUAUUGGGCCAAGAUGUUGUGCUGCUUCAGAAUUGUACCAUUGCAUGUCCUGCUAUCGUGUGCAUAGUAAUGUUGCUCAAACACUCAAACAUUCUAAACUUCAUCCUACUCGUAUGUGGAACACAAUUUUUCUCGUUGAACAAAGUAGAAUAAGGCAAGCUAACUGGUGUAGAGAUGAAAAAAAACAUAUUUUCAUGAGUUUGAGGCAACACAAGAAGAUAGAAGACACUACAAAGGGGACAGGACAGACUUCAUAAUGUUCAUCUCUGUUGUUGCGUUGCCUCAAACUCAGGGAAAUAUGCCUUUUUCACAGUUUUCCUGUUGAGGCAGUGCCAUUGACCAAACUGCUCAUGCAGGAGGACGCCGAAGGUCGAUUCUGCCUGGGCUCUUGCGCUUUGUCUGCCGUUUCUGCACGUAUUCCUCAGAUAAGAAGACAGAUGUGCAGGUUCACGAGCGGACGCAUACGGGGGAACGCCCUUUCCACUGCCACCUCUGCCCUCGCAAGUUCAGCCACAAGUCCAACCUGACCAAGCACCUGCGAUGUCAUUCAGGGGAGAAACCCUUCCACUGCCCCAUCUGUUCCAAAGGACUUAGUAGGAAGCUAGACUUGGAGCGUCACAUGAACACGCACAUAACCACUUCCUAUCUCACCUGACAGCAGAAAUUGUGUGCAUACAGGUGAAUUCAUGACAACGGGGAAGGAGGAAGACAGAAGUGAGCACACAAUAGGGGUGCUUGGAUUCCACUAAUGCGUCCUGUAUGGGGAUGGGAGGUGCUGAGAGUUUCAUGCUACCAUUCUUGGGCAAGUGGACCUCUCUAGGGAAGCCCCUGAUUGGUUGUGAAUAAACUGUUCCUUUUGUUUACAACCUGUUGAUUAUC